rnacentral:rRNA from 1 species
CCUACGUGAGGCAGCAGUGGGGGAUAUUGGACAAUGGGGGGAACCCUGAUCCAGCGACGCCGCGUGAGUGAAGAAGUAUCUCGGUAUGUAAAGCUCUAUCAGCAGGGACGAAGAAAUGACGGUACCUGAGUAAGAAGCCCCGGCUAACUACGUGCCAGCAGCCGCGGUAAUACGUAGGGGGCAGGAGUUAGCCGGAAUUACUGGGUGUAAGGGGAGCGUAGAGGGAGAUGUAAGUCUGGAGUGAAAGGCGGGGGCCCAACCCCAGGCCUGCUUUGGAAACUAUGUGACUGGAGUGCAGGAGAGGUGAGUGGAAUUCCUAGUGUUGCGGUGAAAUGCGUAGAGAUUAGGAGGAACACCAGUGGCGAAGGCGGCUCACUGGACUGUAACUGACGUUGAGGCUCGAAAGCGUGGGGAGCAAACAGGAUUAGAUACCCUAGUAGUC